GUGAGGAAUAUUGCGCAAUGGAGGCAACUCUGACGCAGCCAUGCCGCGUGCAGGAAGAAGGCGCUACGCGUUGUAAACUGCUUUUAACCGGGAAGAAACCCCAGGACGUGUCCUGGGUUGACGGUACCGGAGGAAUAAGCACCGGCUAACUUCGUGCCAGCAGCCGCGGUAAUACGAAGGGUGCAAGCGUUAUCCGGAUUCAUUGGGUUUAAAGGGUGCGUAGGCGGAGCGUUAAGUCAGUGGUGAAAUCCUGCAGCUUAACUGUAGACUUGCCAUUGAUACUGGCGAUCUUGAGUGCGCUUGAAGUGGGCGGAAUGUGCCGUGUAGCGGUGAAAUGCUUAGAUAUGGCACAGAACACCAAUUGCGAAGGCAGCUCACUAAGGCGAUACUGACGCUGAGGCACGAAAGCGUGGGGAUCGAACAGGAUUAGAAACCCGGGUAGUCC
rnacentral:rRNA from 1 species